rnacentral:rRNA from 1 species
AGUGAACGCUGGCGGUAGGCCUAACACAUGCAAGUCGAACGGCAGCACAGUAAGAGCUUGCUCUUACGGGUGGCGAGUGGCGGACGUGUGAGGAAUACAUCGGAAUCUACUUUUUCGUGGGGGAUAACGUAGGGAAACUUACGCUAAUACCGCAUACGACCUACGGGUGAAAGCAGGGGAUCUUCGGACCUUGCGCGAUUGUGUGAGCCGAUGUCGGAUUAGCUAGUUGGCGGGGUAAAGGCCCACCAAGGCGACGAUCCGUAGCUGGUCUGAGAGGAUGAUCAGCCACACUGGAACUGAGACACGGUCCAGACUCCUACGGGAGGCAGCAGUGGGGAAUAUUGGACAAUGGGCGCAAGCCUGAUCCAGCCAUACCGCGUGGGUGAAGAAGGCCUUCGGGUUGUAAAGCCCUUUUGUUGGGAAAGAAAGGCAGCAGGUUAAUACCCCGCUGUUCUGACGGUACCCAAAGAAUAAGCACCGGCUAACUCCGUG